rnacentral:rRNA from 1 species
UACGAAGGGGGCUAGCGUUGUUCGGAAUUACUGGGCGUAAAGCGCACGUAGGCGGAUUGGUCAGUUAGGGGUGAAAUCCCGGGGCUCAACCCCGGAACUGCCUUUAAUACUGCCAAUCUAGAGUCCGAGAGAGGUGAGUGGAAUUCCGAGUGUAGAGGUGAAAUUCGUAGAUAUUCGGAGGAACACCAGUGGCGAAGGCGGCUCACUGGCUCGGUACUGACGCUGAGGUGCGAAAGCGUGGGGAGCAAAC